GAGAAACAAACGAACACUAACGUGUCUGGCUUGCCGCCAACUGGACUGUCACGUGACCCAAGACGCCAACGGAUGACGGCGAAGGCAAAGCGCCGCCAGAUGAUGGCGGAGGCGCGGGAAGGGGAAUAAAUUUUAUUUGUUACAAGUGUAAUUUAUUUUUUUUCGUACCUUGUGGAAUUCUAUUUGUACAGUAUUUUGUGAUACUGUUUUACAAGCUCGUGCUACUGCGAAUAAAUACCAGGCGAAUAUACCGUUUAUUUCACAAGUUUUGUGCCUAGUGUUGCGAACAAAUCAAUCAAUCUGAUUCUAUACGUACUUGUGGAAGUAUUAGGUCUACAAACAUGAAAUAUUUAUUUUGUUACCUAUAUUGACUAAAUUUGAUAUACUGUGAUCAUAAUAUCUAAUAGGUAAACCGGUAUUACUUUCUUUAAAAAGAUAUUCAUUGUUAGACUAUGAAGCAAAAGAUGCAUGUAUAUAGCUGUCUGAAUUCAUUGCAAUGCAUUGCAGGAAUUUCAUAUUAUUCAUGGAGGUUUAGAAAUAAAUGGAGAGCUACCUAACGCCU
rnacentral:misc_RNA from 1 species